UUCUCCUGUUUGAGUUCAUUUCGUUCCUCGUGUGCUGAUUGUGUGUAAGCUGUGUUGGUAUGCUUUUGUGUGUGUGUGUGUUAGUGUUAGACCCACUAGGGGCAUCAUUGGCUUAGGUUAAGCGUGAGUAGUGUAGGGUCAAUGGUGAAAGCCACCAGAUUGACUGUGCCGGUGUCGUUGGUCGGCGAUUUGGUGCCUUUGCCUGGGCAUUCAAUAUUCAACACUUCCAUCGACGAUAUUUUCGCCUUAUCAUUACUAUGCCUACUGCACACCGAGUGGCGUGUUUCCGGGAUGACGUCGCAGUAUUCCUCGUUUAUCUUUACCAAAGAUGGCUGUAUCCAGUCGACAAGAAACGAGUGAACGAAUUCGGAGCGACAGGAGAAGAAGAAGUUGUUGAGGAAAACAAGAAAGACAAAUAAACGGCCACACCGUUUUUGCCAACUAGCUGAUGGACGGAUUCUUCAAAAGUAUGGGAUAAGGGGAGGGGUAAUCAAUUUAUUAUUUUUUCACAUGAUUCAAUCGUUGUGUGGUACCGCUCAUAACUUUUCAGUUAAAAUUUGAAAGAUUAAAUCCUUUUUUGUUUCCGA